GGACAUGGCUCUUGCUUCCUUUCUGAGCAGGCCAAGGACCUACAGUUCAUAACUGCCCCAUAUUUUUGGUAAACUGAGGGAAAAGCCUGUAUCCUGACAAAUCUGUCUGUCACUUACAGGUUUACAUGAGUUCAAGGGCGGAAGUUCAUCAGAGAGAAAUCCACCAAGAUUAAGGACAUAGUGACUGCAGUAUUUGCAAGAAGUUGCUGAGCAGUAAUUGUUGGAAGUGGACACCAGUGGAAAGUACCAAAUAUGUCUGCUGAAGUUUAUUCCUCCUUGAGUGCCUAUUGUGGCUGCUGAUGGAGACAAGAUACUGAACUGUGAACUUUCAGCCUGCCUUGAUAUUUUCUUCGAGGAGAUUAUUCAUGGAGCAAGGAUCUAAAAUAAAAAUUGAGGAGGAUGGAGCAAAGCUGGGCUUUGGAUGUUCCUCAGAGCCAGGCAAAAUCAAGGGAGAUCAGCCAUGAAUUGUUUGACCUCAGCUUGCUUUGGAUCUGGCCUGUCAUGGGAAUUAUAGCUAUGCCAUUCUUCAAAUCUCAAGCAGUUUUACAAAGGGGAAAAAAAAGAAAAGAAAAAAAAAAAAAGGUUAGAAUUUUUAUUACAAUCGGAAAAUGCAAUUUUUCAUUCCCUUCUUGUUUCAGAAGGUCUGAAGGGAUUUUACUCAACUUCCUCUUCUACCUUCAGGCAGAGACCAAAUCUGAGAAAUUGCAACCCAAUUUUGGAAAGUUCUCAGCAUGCAAAUAGGGGGUCAUGAUGGGAAGCUGCUGCUGAACUCACUUUGUUGUCAUGAGUGCUUCUGGGAAGCUGCUGCCGACCAGGUGGUGCCCUCAACCCUGCUUCAUUCCAAUUUGUAUCUGCCAGUCAGAAGUAUCUGAUCAAAACCAUGGGGGGGUUUUACCUCUUGGGACCAGCUCUGAUAGAGUGAGGUAGGCAAGAUCCAUUUGUGUACAUAGGAAUUGUCCAGUAACUGCAAAGUUCAGUAUAAAAAUCUGUAUUGCCCCAAACACAGAUUUUGCACUUACUCUAAAAACUUUGUUGCUGAAUGUUUGAGCUCCAGAGAAAACUGCAUGGGAGACUCAGGAAGGAGGAGAGGAAUGGCAUCUGAAUUCAGGAGUUCUGUCUUUGGCAAGAUCCUGUAACACAGGAUGGGCUGUAGCCUGCACCUGUGGUGAUAUAAGGCUUGAUGGAGUUUGUGCUGAUAUGUUUUUCCAGUAUUUAGGGUUUAGUGGAGUGUGGUGUGCCCUUACCAAGAGCAAGUGUUACCCUUGUAAGCAUCUGAAUGCUCAAGCCUGAUUUAGACACCUAUGUUAGGCGUUUUGGCAAAAUACACCAGCGUUAUGGAAAAUAAAGUCUAUAGAAUUGGAAAAAUUUGCUGGAAA
rnacentral:lncRNA from 1 species